rnacentral:ncRNA from 2 species
UUUUGAAUGCGGGACUGGCGGAUAGUGGGGCUCACCACGUGGACCGUAUUUCGAGUGUAUAGCCGACCGCCUGGGCAAGAGAG